CACAAUAUGGCCAUACGACUUUAAUCAGCGCACCUGUUUCUCAGCAAAUGGACAGGUCUUCUUGGUCGUCGGGAUUAUGCGCAUGUAUGACGGACUGCAGUUCAUGCCUGCUGACAGCAUUUUGCCCUGUUUGUUUCACGGCAAACUUGGCAACCCGAAUGGGUGAAUCAUGUCUAUAUGGAUACUGUUGCGCCCCUCAUUUUGCCAGUACUGCACGUCCGUACUUCCGAGGAAAAGAAAACAUCACGGGUUCUCUGGCGGGUGAUUGCUGCAUAGGAUGUUGGUGCGUAUGCUGCAACAUUUGUCAAAUAUCUCGUGAACUCGAUCGUCGUGGCUAUUCAAGAGGUUGCAUGUGUUAAUAAGAAGAUGCAUAAUAUUUCUACAUGACAGCUGUCCUUUCAAUCAUUCAAUUAAUAAUUGUAGAUUAAUUCAUGAUAUG